rnacentral:rRNA from 1 species
GGAGGCAGCAGUGGGGAAUAUUGGACAAUGGGCGCAAGCCUGAUCCAGCCAUACCGCGUGGGUGAAGAAGGCCUUCGGGUUGUAAAGCCCUUUUGUUGGGAAAGAAAUCCAGCUGGCUAAUACCCGGUUGGGAUGACGGUACCCAAAGAAUAAGCACCGGCUAACUUCGUGCCAGCAGCCGCGGUAAUACGAAGGGUGCAAGCGUUACUCGGAAUUACUGGGCGUAAAGCGUGCGUAGGUGGUCGUUUAAGUCCGUUGUGAAAGCCCUGGGCUCAACCUGGGAACUGCAGUGGAUACUGGGCGACUAGAGUGUGGUAGAGGGUAGCGGAAUUCCUGGUGUAGCAGUGAAAUGCGUAGAGAUCAGGAGGAACAUCCAUGGCGAAGGCAGCUACCUGGACCAACACUGACACUGAGGCACGAAAGCGUGGGGAGCAAACAGGAUUAGAUACCCUGGUAGUCCACGCCCUAAACGAUGCGAACUGGAUGUUGGGUGCAAUUUGGCACGCAGUAUCGAAGCUAACGCGUUAAGUUCGCCGCCUGGGGAGUACGGUCGCAAGACUGAAACUCAAAGGAAUUGACGGGGGCCCGCACAAGCGGUGGAGUAUGUGGUUUAAUUCGAUGCAACGCGAAGAACCUUACCUGGCCUUGACAUGUCGAGAACUUUCCAGAG